rnacentral:rRNA from 1 species
AUGUUCUUGGAAGUGGUCUAUGAGUUGUUCAACCGUCAGUUCAUUUCCAGUUGGAAGUCUAUCGCUGAGUUUGUUUUUCGUUUUCCUAUCUGUAUCUUUGAGUACUCAAGGGGACAUUGCUUUCCUGCUGUUUGUACUAUUUUCACUUGGAAAUACUGGAUACUGCUGGAAAGGGGUUACUCUGCUGAUGUUAUGAAGUUUUGGAAAGAAAUAAGUUAUAUUUGUAGAAUAGUUUGCAGUCCAUCAUUUUGCCUUAGUUCUUCGUAUUCUGAUUCCCCUUAUUUUAUUUAUUUAUUACUUGUUGAAUAUGUUCGUAAAUUUUCUGAGAGAAAAGAACCUGAAUAA